AUGGAAUCGGUGUGCCGAGAGAGCAGAGAGAAAUUUAAGGAUGAAGCUUUUCUGAGAAAUCUCAGCGAUCCAGAGGGCAUGGUUGGUUUCAAGUUUCGAAGCAAGUUAGUUGUUUGGCAUAACUUAGUCUUGGAUGCAGGACAGGACUUGGGGUGGAGAGCAAGAACAACUCGAGACGGACUUAUGGAGAUCUUCUCAAGCCAAGCAAAAGUGAAUGAAGGCAUAUAA